GGCAUAUUGUGUCUGGCGUUGGCCUUCCCCUUUCCCCAAGAAAACUGCCUGGCCUUGAGACAGAUUUUUGCCCAAACUGCUUUUUUCUUUAGAAAGAUUGUAAAAAUGAUAAACUAUAUAUUGGUACAAAAGCCAAACAGAAAUGUCCUAAAUGUAAAAUAGGAUAUCACUGGGCCAGUCCAUGGUGCUCCAAAUUUGGUAAUGAAUGAGGGAAACCCUAUUUCAAAAAAUGGGAAAGGGAUACAACUCCUUGCAAGUAAAAAUAGGGAGGCAAUCAUAAGAUGUUAACAUUCUAGAGUGGGAGUCACACCAGAAUCACAAGAGCCCAUUGUUACCAAUUUUAGCUAAUUGAUAAAUUUACUUUUGGCUUUCAAUUUGAGUUGUUAUGUUUGUUUAAUAUGCUUAAAAUGGUCUUGUGCACAAAUUCUUAGACUACGAUUACAAGGUUAAUACGAUCUUCUGCUUCAGUAGAGGGCAUCACAGUGAUUGCCAAUCGUGUACAGUGGUACAUGAACAACCAGAUUUGGAAGUUGGGAGGAGGUCGAAAGUGAGUGAUCAGGACUGGCAGGAACUGUGGGUGGAUGAUGCCAUCUGGAAGUUGCUGUUCUCCAUGAUAUUCUUUGUCAUCAUGAUUCUCUGGCAACCAUCGACAAAUAACCAAAGGAGAAAAAGGAUAGCAGUUCUCUGGGUCUCAGGACUAAGCUGCUCCCACAGGUCCUAGCCAAGACAAGACACGGAGACUGGUGACUGACUCCUAUCUGCCAGCUAGCUGAUCAACCACCACUGAAGGGCAGACAAGUGACUGAAAGGCAAGUUGUAGACUUGGCCUCAGAGACCAACAGUUCAAACCGUGAGGUGAUCAAAAUGAUAAAGUAAACAGCACCCAGGAUGCAGCUGUCCACGGAGCCCGCAUCUCUGCAUUCUGGCCACUUAAGUUAAGCAGUGUCUAAAGGGGCACAGCCUCCCAGCCUGUCACAGGAAUGGUCAACUCCAGGCCCAAGGCUCUCUGACCAUUCUCCUUGGCUUUGACUUUCAAGUGAAAGGGCAGGGUUCUAGCAAAUCCUCCAAGCCAAGCCAGUCCAAGGAAGGUGUACCAUGGCAGAGGCUCUGGACAUACACAGGGAACCCUAUGUACAGAACCCCUCUCAGGGGCUCUUCAGGGCUCUGAAGCUGAACCCUCAUCUGAACCACCUAAGCAGCCAAGUGAAUUACAAGGAGGCAAAGUAGCUCAAUGGAAGUGUGAACAGGUGGAUGGCCAGGGACUAAGACCCAGGAGACAGUAAGUUUCCUCAGCAGAGCUCUUCCAAACAUGAGCUUCAAGGUUUCUUUCCUUUUCAAAAAGUCACAACCAAAAUCCUGCUGUCCUGAACUCGUUUUCUAGGAAUGAGCAACAGGGAAGAACCAAAAUAAACUUGGGAUAAUGAUGAGUGUAUUUUUAGGCUAAGUGUGUGGUUUGCUAAUUGAGAAGGUACCAAAAAGAUCUCCAGACAGAGAAGUGGGAGCACUUGCUAUUCCUUCAGGCAAAAGCGGAGCUACUGAACAGAAAGAGUGGUGAGGCAGCCACUGCAUCUUUCCCAUUUUUUAAAGGGAAGUAUGUGUGACAUGUUGCCUUCUCCAUCCCAGCCUCUCAGAGAACCAGCUGCCUUCCAUAUUUUAUGAGGAAAAUUGUAAACCCACCAGUACCCGGGCUGAGUUCCCACUGCUGCUAGUUCUGAGGACGUAUGAGACAGGGUCUUGCUUGUAGGAUGACAAAGUUACAGUUUGGAUUUUGUGAAGCAUAGUUAAAAGUCAGAGCUGCCCCUAAAGACACAAAAUAAACUUAUUUCCCUUCCUAAAAAAAUGUACAAAAAGAGAAAAUGGUGUUUUAUUUGAAAUGUGCAAUACAUAUUAUGAAUCGAAUGCUUUGUUGAUAUUUUAUGUUCCUGUUUACUACAAAUUGUAUAAUAAGAACCUCCUGACAAAACAGCAAGAUAGCAAGAUGUCUACUAUGUCCUACAAAAAAGAUAGGAAAGCAAAACACAUGUGCUAUCAGUGUAAAUGAUACAUGCAUGCUGUUUUCAUGUGUGAAGACUGCUUUAGGUAUGAUAAUUGAAGUAAAGAUUAUUUUUGUUGUAAAGUUCUAUUGGUAUUUUCAUUAUAAUGAUGGAGCAAUAAUACACAAUAAGAUUGGCCCUUGCCUUUCCCUUGCCUUGCCUCCAUUUUUUUUUUUUUUUCCACAAAAUGUUUUGUCUCAGAAAUGUGACAGUUUGUGCUGCUGGGCAGCAGCUCCUGCCCAAUGUAUCAAAAUGUUUUGUGACUGAAUUAUGUGACCUUUCAGGAAUGUUCUGUUAAAUUCUGCCCCUCUGCUUCAGGAAUGUUCUGUAACUCUGCCCUCCUUGCUUCAGUGUGCAUGCUCACCUAUCCUGUAGAUCCCUAUUUAAGGAGGCUCUCAUUUCUGGUAGAGCGCUCACACUUCAAGUAUGAACUCCUCUGAGCCUGCCAGUGUAAUAAACGUUUUCUCCACCCUCUUCGAGUGACCAUCAGAUUCUAGAGUCUUCAAAUUGAGAGAGCUGGGGUCCAGAUCUGCACACACUGAGCUGUAAAGCUCAGCUGUGCUCGGAGCUGUGGCACUUGGCUGCAACCCUGAGCUGUAGGGCGGGGAUUUAGCGCAGUGGUUUUGCUGCCUGCUGCACAAGGACCACAGUUCAAUCUCCAGUACCAAAAAACCCCAAAAACAAAAACAAAAAUACCCCAUUGAGCUGUAACACUCAGCUGUGCCUCUGAGCUGUGGUACUUCUGGCUGCGACACUGAGCUAUAACACUUGGCUAUGGCACUGAGCUUCUCUGCCGCAACAGUAGUUCAUAUAGAUAUUUGUUAUUUUUUAGACUUUAAGAAGUUGAUGUUGAAAAUGAUGCUUAUUUAUAAACACUAUUAAAAAUUCAGUAUUUAAAAAUUUUUACACAAUAUAAAACUCAAAAUUAAAAUUAAUUCAUCAGUAUAAAUACUUCUAAAAGAUAAAUGUGGGUGUUAUACACCCCAUGAUGCUCCUUUAAUCUAAAAUUGACAUGAUCCCCCAAUAAGGGUACUUUUUCAAGGCUGUUUACAGAUUUGUUGGCAGCCAGUCAGAUUUAAAAAUGUAACAAUCUGAGACCAAAGGAAAAAAGAAAAAGAAGGACACUUUAAAAUCCAAGUGGCUGCAGCGAAGUUUGUUUUAGCCUGUGGCAAGUACAGUGUUACCUCAGUUCAUGAAUGCUUUUGUUUGCAAGCAGUUUGGUUUGGCAAAAUUUUUCUUUUGUUUGUGAACACUGUGUCAGGUGAUAAACAUGACUGCAGUCAUCUUUCCUACAUGAACAUGAAUAUGGCUGUCUUUUCCAGAAUCAUGGGGGACAAAUUAAGUUUGUGAACCAAGGGACCACUGUAGGACAGAGAAAAUAUAGAAGAAGCUUUAAGUAUAGAGAUACAUUUUUGAUGUGAGGAUUUUGUAUGAUAAAGUUAAGAAAGAGGGAAAUAAUGACAGACCUGGAAGACUUAAGCAUGUCAAAAAGUUUGUGGAAGAUACAGUUUAUAGAAAGAAAUACGUAUGUUUAUUUUAUGCUUUGCUCUUGUUAGUUUGAUUAAGCCCAAACUAUUUCUUUUAAUAAAUCCUUGUUGCUCAAAGAAGAUUAGGGGGCUAUAAUCCUGACUCUCAUCAGUCACUUCUCAUUUCUCAGCUCUCCUCUCUGGUUUAACUGGUGCUUUCAGGCAAAGGGUAUAAUUCUCCUUUCUGAGAUUAAUAUUAGCUGGGCCUGGGGGCCAGGUAUUUAGCUCAGUGGCACUGCUCCUGGCUCAAAAGCACAAGGUCCUGAGUUCGAUCCUCAGUACAAAAAAAAAAGGCUGGGCCUCGUAGUGCAUGCUUUAAUUCCAGCACUUAGAAGAUGAGGCAGGAGGAUUGCCACGAGUUUAGAGGCCAGCCUGGGCUACAUAGUGAGUUCAAGGCCAACCUGAACUACACGGUGAAACCCUGUCUAAAAAAAAAAAAAAAAAAAUAUAUAUAUAUAUAUAUAUAUAUAUAUAUAUGUAUCUCAUGAGCGUUUCUGCAUGACUAGCAGAGACAUCUAUCUAAACUGGUCAGUGACAAAAAACAAGUCAAAACUGCCUCCUUGAGCAAUUUCAACCUGGUUUGUGACACUCAUUGCUGACUUCAUGAUAUAUUAAAUAUAUUUAUAAUUCCUAAGUGUAUGGGUCUUCAACAAUGCAAAAUUUUAAAAAAAAUAUCAUACUAAUGACUUCUAGCCUAAAAGUAUUUAUGAUAAUAAAAUUUUAAACUCAAAUCUCUGGCUUCUCCUUUUCUUGUUUUCUGUUUAUGAUAAAAUAUACAUUGCCAAUCUAACAGGCAGCUAG
rnacentral:lncRNA from 1 species